CCUACCUACUACAUCCAUCAAGAGAAACAAAAAGGCAUAGAAAGAUGCUGGCUAAAAUAUUCCUUCAAAUUAAGCCUCCGCCUGUUUGGUCUUUUCAGCUACUGACUAUUUCCUUCGAGUAGAAGUUUUGUUGGCUCAGAAGAUGUUUAAAGAGUUCGAAUUUGGGCAAAAGACAUAUGAAGAAAAACCAUUGAAGAGAAGUGAACAACAAAAUAUUAACCAUUGAAUGCACAACAAAGAUUCAAAGAGUGUUCAAAGAUUGAAGUGAGGACAAAACUCAAUAGAAUUAUUUUUUUGUGAGACUUGGAACAAAAAAUAAUCAGGCAUGACGAAGGCACUGGAGUUUUUCUUUCAAUUCACCUAAACAAAAGCCAUGCAUUAAGUUAUCAGAUGUCAUUGAAUUAUGAGAUACACUUGUCAAGCAAAUGAUGUUCCACAUGUCAACUAAAACACUCCUAUUAUAUAUUAAUAGAUGAUAAUGGACAGAAUGUAAACAUUUGAAAGACAAUGGAGGAACAUCAUGUUUGUUCCGGAAAUGGGACCUCCCUCUCCAUGAUUACAAUUUGGUCUCCAAGUCCAAGAUAAUGAGAGUGGUUACAUUGUGCACUAUCACUAUUACACGUCUAUUUCUUUUGAAUAACUUUAAAAUUAAGAUGUAGAAGUAUUUCUCAAAAAAAAAAAGUUACGGAUUCAUA